rnacentral:rRNA from 1 species
GAUGAACGCUGGCGGCGUGCCUAAUACAUGCAAGUCGAGCGAACAGACGAGGAGCUUGCUCCUCUGACGUUAGCGGCGGACGGGUGAGUAACACGUGGAUAACCUACCUAUAAGACUGGGAUAACUUCGGGAAACCGGAGCUAAUACCGGAUAAUAUAUUGAACCGCAUGGUUCAAUAGUGAAAGACGGUUUUGCUGUCACUUAUAGAUGGAUCCGCGCCGCAUUAGCUAGUUGGUAAGGUAAAGGCUUACCAAGGCGACGAUGCGUAGCCGACCUGAGAAGGUGAUCGGCCACACUGGAACUGAGACACGGUCCAGACUCCUACGGGAGGCAGCAGUAGGGAAUCUUCCGCAAUGGGCGAAAGCCUGACGGAGCAACGCCGCGUGAGUGAUGAAGGUCUUCGGAUCGUAAAACUCUGUUAUUAGGGAAGAACAAAUGUGUAAGUAACUAUGCACGUCUUGACGGUACCUAAUCAGAAAGCCACGGCUAACUACGUG